CCUCUUCCAGCUGUCAGGGAAGCUGCUGUUAGCAGAGCUAGCUGUUAGCAGGCUAGCUUUAACUGGGAAAGGUGAAGAAAGAGCAAUAAUGGCGGGCGUGCACCCGCAGGACGACCUGCUGAAGAUGACACACAGAGAGAACUGGAAGGUGCAGCACGAGCGUCUGCAUGUGAAACAUCGCGGCCACGAGGCCAUGCACGCAGAGAUGGUGAUGAUCCUCAUCGCCACGCUGGUGGUGGCUCAGAUCGUCCUGGUGCAGUGGAAGCAGAGACACCACCGGUCCUACAAC